GGGAUACCCCUGGGAAACUGGGAUUAAUACCGCAUAGUAUCGAAAGAUUAAAGCAGCAAUGCGCUUGGGGAUGGGCUCGCGGCCUAUUAGUUAGUUGGUGAGGUAACGGCUCACCAAGGCGAUGACGGGUAGCCGGUCUGAGAGGAUGUCCGGCCACACUGGAACUGAGACACGGUCCAGACACCUACGGGUGGCAGCAGUCGAGAAUCAUUCACAAUGGGGGAAACCCUGAUGGUGCGACGCCGCGUGGGGGAAUGAAGGUCUUCGGAUUGUAAACCCCUGUCAUGUGGGAGCAAAUUAAAAAGAUAGUACCACAAGAGGAAGAGACGGCUAACUCUGUGCCAGCAGCCGCGGUAAUACAGAGGUCUCAAGCGUUGUUCGGAAUCACUGGGCGUAAAGCGUGCGUAGGCUGUUUCGUAAGUCGUGUGUGAAAGGCGCGGGCUCAACCCGCGGACGGCACAUGAUACUGCGAGACUAGAGUAAUGGAGGGGGAACCGGAAUUCUCGGUGUAGCAGUGAAAUGCGUAGAUAUCGAGAGGAACACUCGUGGCGAAGGCGGGUUCCUGGACAUUAACUGACGCUGAGGCACGAAGGCCAGGGGAGCGAAAGGGAUUAGAUACCCCUGUAGUCCUGGCAGUAAACGGUGCACGCUUGGUGUGCGGGGAAUCGACCCCCUGCGUGCCGGAGCUAACGC
rnacentral:rRNA from 1 species